AACGAACGCUGGCGGCAUGCCUAACACAUGCAAGUCGAACGAGACCUUCGGGUCUAGUGGCGCACGGGUGCGUAACGCGUGGGAACCUGCCCUUAGGUUCGGAAUAACUCCCCGAAAGGGGUGCUAAUACCGGAUAAUGUCUUCGGACCAAAGAUUUAUCGCCUUUGGAUGGGCCCGCGUUGGAUUAGCUAGUUGGUAGGGUAAAAGCCUACCAAGGCGACGAUCCAUAGCUGGUCUGAGAGGAUGAUCAGCCACACUGGGACUGAGACACGGCCCAGACUGCUACGGGAGGCAGCAGUGGGGAAUAUUGGACGAUGGGCGAAAGCCUGAUCAAGCAAUGCCGCGUGAGUGAUGAAGGGCUUAGGGUUGUAAAGCUCUUUUACCCGGGAUGAUAAUGACAGUACCGGGAGAAUAAGCUCCGGCUAACUCCGUG
rnacentral:rRNA from 1 species